rnacentral:rRNA from 1 species
UGGGGAAUAUUGGUAAUCUGCGAAAGCGGGAACCAGCAACGCCGCGUGUGCGAUGAAGGCCUUCGGGUUGUAAAGCACUUUUUGAGAGGAUGAGGAAGGACAGUACUCUCAGAAUAAGCCUCGGCUAACUACGUGCCAGCAGCCGCGGUAACACGUAGGAGGCAAGCGUUAUUCGGAUUUACUGGGCGUAAAGAGCGUGUAGGAGGCAAUACAAGUUGGAUGUAAAAGCUCUCGGCUAAACUGAGAGAGGACGUUCAAGACUGUAGAGCUAGAGGAUGGUAGAGGGAGGUGGAAUUCCGGGUGUAGCGGUGGAAUGCGCAGAUAUCCGGAGGAACACCAGUGGCGAAAGCGGCCUCCUGGACCAUUCCUGACAUUCAGACGCGAAAGCUAGGGUAGCAAACG